GUCUAAGACUAUCCCAAACUCCCAACAUUCGGGCCCUAACCAAAAACUGCUUUUCCUUCAUUUUCUUUGAAGUGGAAGGUGUGUCAACUAGCUGGUCUGUUAAGUGAGUUCCAAGUGGAGCUUUUCCUAUAAUGUAUGUGACCUUCUCUCCAUACCCCUGGCUGGAUGGACAACAUUAACGUAUCAAUGGAGAGUGUUUUCAAACCUGUGAAAGAGGGUGUCAAGGCUUUGGCAAACUUGUAAGCAAAGGCUGGAGUAUUGUUUUGUUUGACGUCUAGCAAGUUGAGUAGAGAAAUAUUAUUCAUGCCAGGACAAGAAAUGGAAGCCAGCCCCAAAUCCAAGGGAAGGAGGAUUCUUCCCCAUUCAAAGGCUGAGACCCAGAAGUUUGGGGAGAAGGUGAUCCCCUGUCAAGAUUCCAGAUGCACAGCUUCCCCACAUCGCCCCCAGCCUAUGCAAGCUUAUUAUACACACACCCUCUACCAAACCAACACCUUCAAGAUAUCAGAGAAUGAUAAUGAAAUGAUCAGAUAAACCAGAGUGUGCUUAUGUAUUUUCUACUAAAAUGGUUACCUCUCCCAUUAGAUAAUGCUUUAAAAUGAUUUUACACUACAGAUGUCCCUUAAAUUAUUGGAAUUCAAGGCACAGCUCCAGAAAGAGAUUUGGAAGAGAAAGAACCUCUGAGUGCCCUCAGUUCACCUCAGUUGAGCUGGGUUGUUCCUGAGAUAGAUGAGUACCUAACUCGCACAUACGUAAGAUUAGCCCCCAAAUGUGGUGGAACCUCUGUGAUCAAAGAGAACUGACUGCAUAUUUGUUAUCAAAAUGAGGGUGGGGGUCUCUCAAAGCACCCCCAGCUUGUACAUCGCAUAUAUUACCCACAUCUAAGGCAACCAACUUACAGCAUUCCUCUAGCCACAAUUACUGGUUCACAAGGGAAUUCAUCUAUUCAACAAAUAUUUACUGAGCAUUUACUAUGUAUCAGGCAUUGUUGCAGGCACUGGAGAUACAGCAAACAACAAAAUGGACAAGAUCUCUGUCCUCAUGCCUCCUACACUAUGGUGAGACUAUAAAUAAAUA